rnacentral:rRNA from 1 species
CCUACGGGAGGCAGCAGUGGGGAAUAUUGCACAAUGGGCGCAAGCCUGAUGCAACGACGCCGCGUGAGGGAUGACGGCCUUCGGGUUGUAAACCUCUUUCAGUAGGGAAGAAGCGAAAGUGACGGUACCUGCAGAAGAAGCGCCGGCUAACUACGUGCCAGCAGCCGCGGUAAUACGUAGGGCGCAAGCGUUAUCCGGAAUUAUUGGGCGUAAAGAGCUCGUAGGCGGUUUGUCGCGUCUGCUGUGAAAGACCGGGGCUCAACUCCGGUUCUGCAGUGGGUACGGGCAGA